rnacentral:rRNA from 1 species
AUUGAACGCUGGCGGCAGGCCUAACACAUGCAAGUCGAACGAGUGGCGGACGGGUGAGUAAUGUCUGGGAACCUGCCUGAUGGCGGGGGAUAACUACUGGAAACGGUAGCUAAUACCGCAUACCAUCAGAUGUGCCCAGAUGGGAUUAGCUUGUUGGGGGGGUAACGGCUCACCAAGGCGACGAUCCCUGGCUGGUCUGAGAGGCGGACAAGCCACACUGGAACGGGGCCACGGUCCAGGCUCCUACGGUAGGCAGCAGGGGGGAAUAUUGCACAAUGGGCGCAAGCCUGAUGCAGCCAUGCCGAGUGUAUGAAGAAGGCCUUCGGGUUGUAAAGUACUUUCAGCGGGGAGGCGUUACCCGCAGAAGAAGCACCGGCUAACUCCGUGCCAGCAGCCGCGGUAAUUC